rnacentral:rRNA from 1 species
UGGGGAAUAUUGCACAAUGGGCGCAAGCCUGAUGCAGCCAUGCCGCGUGUAUGAAGAAGGCCUUCGGGUUGUAAAGUACUUUCAGUCGGGAGGAAGGUGGUAAGGUUAAUAACCUUAUCAAUUGACGUUACCGACAGAAGAAGCACCGGCUAACUCCGUGCCAGCAGCCGCGGUAAUACGGAGGGUGCAAGCGUUAAUCGGAAUUACUGGGCGUAAAGCGCACGCAGGCGGUUGAUUGAGUCAGAUGUGAAAUCCCCGGGCUUAACCCGGGAAGUGCAUCUGAUACUGGUCAGCUAGAGUCUUGUAGAGGGGGGUAGAAUUCCAUGUGUAGCGGUGAAAUGCGUAGAGAUGUGGAGGAAGACCGGUGGCGAAGGCGGCCCCCUGGACAAAGACUGACGCUCAGGUGCGAAAGCGUGGGGAGCAAACAGG